ACUCAAAGGAAUUGACGGGGGCCCGCACAAGCAGUGGAUUAUGUGGUUUAAUUCGAAGCAACGCGAAGAACCUUACCAGGGCUUGACAUCCCGCGCAUAGCCAAGAGAUUGGUGAAAUCCUACGGGACGCGGUGACAGGUGGUGCAUGGUUGUCGUCAGCUCGUGUCGUGAGAUGUUGGGUUAAGUCCCGCAACGAGCGCAACCCCUGUUGUCAGUUGCCAGCAUUAAGUUGGGGACUCUGGCAAGACUGCCGGUGACAAAUCGGAGGAAGGUGGGGACGAGGUCAAAUCAUCAUGCCCCUUAUGUCCUGGGCUACACACGUAAUACAAUGGCUGGAACAGAGGGAAGCGAAGGAGCAAUUCGGAGCGAAGCCCUAAAACCAGUCUCAGUUCGGAUUGUGGGCUGAAACCCGCCCACAUGAAGUCGGAAUUGCUAGUAAUGGCAGGUCAGCAUACUGCCGUGAAUACGUUCCCGGGCCUUGCACACACCGCCCGU
rnacentral:rRNA from 1 species